UCGACCGUUUGUGCCGCUCGUGGAUUCGCAGGGAUGAGGUGGGAGGUGUUUACUGUGUGUGGGCUACAACUGCAAUAUCCAAAUUGUGGGUACGAAUAGAAAUUGCUGCAAAAUCUCAGAGGUCUAUGGAGUGAAGCACAGUGAAUUAGUGAACCCAGUGCCUUCAAGCAGUUUUAAAUAUAAAUCUGAAACAAAAACAGAAAUUGCUGAAGAAUCUCAACAAAUCUGGCAGCAACUGUGGAGAAAAAGCAGUGACCCUUCUUCCGAGCUAUGAAAUUGGAGCGAUAUGGUGAACUGGCAAUGAAGUGAGACCCUGUCAAGAACACUGACAUAAACAAUAAGAGAAGCUUGCUGAUGACGUUUUAUCCUUUCAAGUUGUUCCUCAACGCUCAUUCGAGGUCGCGGACCUUCUGCUAGGAAAAGCUGCUCAACUGCACUCUUGGGUCUUUCCUGCCAGAAUGACAUUUAGACACAUUUAACUAAUAUUUUGUUCUAUUUAAGGGGAAAAAAAAUGCAACCUUUAUUGUUUGUGGACUAGUAAGUGCUGCUUCUGCUUUUCAUUUGUUUAAUUUUCUUCUCAAAUUAGCAUGCUGUGCUCCCAGUGCAACCUUUCAGAACUGCUGCAAGAUACUCGUGACCCCGGUUUAUCAGUACUUGCACACAUGUUGUUUAUGCAAAGCACUAAUUGGUCAACUCCUCAGAAAUUUCCAUAACUAACAGUGUGAACAAUGUAAGGAAUGAUGUUUCUAAGUUGUAAUAAAGAAAAACAGUUUAUUUCCUACAGAUUUGGAAGAGUCAUAUUCGAAUACUGAAGACAAUAGUUCUAAAAAGAUAAUAGCAUUGGAAUGCAAUUUGUGUAUUUGUGUUUCGUCUUUAUAGUUAACAUUGCAGUAUGCAUGCAAACCAUUCAGAAUUGUGAAUAACUAAUGGAUAAAAAUACAUAGUUCACCAUAUUAUUGGUAUAGAUUGUGAAAAACAUUAAUAAUUCAAUUUUCACAGGAGGGGAUUAUACAUUUGGUUUCUCUAAAUAAAAAAAAAUCUUGCAAGUCCACAGAAGUUUGGACUGCUGCACUUUAAUUAACAAUAUUUUCACAAGUAAAUACUGAUUCAUACCACAUGAGGUACUGUGCCAUCCAUUUUCCUAUGCUUUCUUAAAGUAACGUAUGAUGCAAUUGUAGAAGAUUCAGGCAUUGGCGAUUUGCUUCUAGGAGGAACUAUACCAACGGGAAAAGACAAACCUGUAAAUAAGGAAAUUCACUCAA